rfam:Providencia sneebia DSM 19967 chromosome, whole genome shotgun sequence.
CAGUGAAUACUGAGUCAACUUGAAGGAUGACGAGUUUAAUUAAUUGACUAUUUGAUUGCAUACAAAUGCUGCAAUGGCGUAAGACAUUUAAUGGAAUCAAAUAAUUAGCGAGCAACGAAUGUUGGCUUUUUGGGUUGGGAAUUUUCGUUUAUAAAAAUAUAAUCGACUUCCUGAUUAAGAACGCUGAAUUUUUAAUCUAAAAAUCAGGUUCACCGAAUAUUACGCGCCUCUAUACGAACGACUGCCGGGAGGCAGGCGGUUUUGUAAAAAUCACGAGGCCAUCGGUUUACAAUAGCUCCUGUUUUCGCUGCUCUUUAUUUAU